AGGUAGGGUCGGUGAUAGGGACGAAGUCGUAACAAGGCAUCCGUAGCGGAAGCUGUGGAUGGAUCACCUCCUUU
rnacentral:ncRNA from 1 species